rnacentral:rRNA from 1 species
AUUGAACGCUGGCGGCCGGCCUAACACAUGCAAGUCGAACGAGUGGCGGACGGGUGAGUACUGUCUGGGAAACUGCCCGAUGGAGGGGGAUAACUACUGGAAACGGUAGCUAAUACCGCAUACCAUCGGAUGUGCCCAGAUGGGAUUAGCUAGUAGGUGGGGUAACGGCUCACCUAGGCGACGAUCCCUAGCUGGGCUGAGAGGAUGACCAGCCACACGGGAACGGAGAAACGGCUCAGACUCCUACGGGGGGCAGCAGUGGGGAAUAUUGCACAAGGGGCGAAAGCCUGAUGCAGCAAUGCCGCGUGUAUGAAGAAGGGCUUCGGGGUGUAAAGUACUUUCAGAGAGGAGGCGUUACUCGCAGAAGAAGCACCGGCUAACUCCGUGCCAGCAGCCGCGGUAAUAC